rnacentral:rRNA from 1 species
UACGAACUGCGCAAACGUUAUUCGGAAUCACUGGGCUUACAGGGUGCGUAGGCUGCCAUUCAGGUCCGAUGUGAAAUCCCACAGCUCAACUGUGGAAUGGCAUUGGAAACCGAUUGGCUUGAGUGAGCUAGAGAUGCACGGAACUUCCGGUGGAGCGGUGAAAUGUGUUGAGAUCGGAAGGAACACCAGAGGCGAAGGCGGUGCAUUGGGGCUUGUCUGACGCUGAGGCACGAAAGCCAGGGGAGCGAACGGG